rnacentral:ncRNA from 1 species
CCCUUUAAUGUUUGAUGUUCUAACCUAUACUUCUGAAUCGAGGUAAGGGACACUGUCUGGUGGGUAGUUUGACUGGGGCGGUCUCCUCCCAAAGAGUAACGGAGGAGCACGAAGGUUAGCUAAUCCUGGUCGGACAUCAGGAGGUUCUGUAUCAUUGCUACGUCCUGAUGUAAUUUGGGUAAUUUUUUUAGAACUCAAAUUCAUCAUAUAUAA